CCUGGUAGUCCACGCUGUAAACUAUGAGUGCUAAAUGUGGGGAUAUUUUAUCUCUGUAUUGUAGCUAACGCGUUAAGCACUCCGCCUGGGGACUACGGUCGCAAGACUAAAACUCAAAGGAAUUGACGGGGACCCGCACAAGCGGUGGAGCAUGUGGUUUAAUUCGAUGCAACGCGAAAAACCUUACCACUUUUUGACAUGAAGGUCGUAUCUUUUCUAACCGGAAGAGUCAGUUUGGCUGGACCUUACACAGGUGCUGCAUGGCUGUCGUCAGCUCGUGUCGUGAGAUGUUGGGUUAAGUCCCGCAACGAGCGUAACCCUUGUCCUUAGUUGCCAACAGGUAAUGCUGGGAACUCUAAGGAAACUGCCAGUGAUAAACUGGAGGAAGGUGAGGAUGAUGUCAAGUCAGCACGGCCCUUAUAAGGUGGGCUACACACGUGCUACAAUGGUAACUACAAUAGGUUGCAAGAUCGCAAGAUUGAGCUAAUCCAUAAAAGUUAUCUCAGUUCGGAUUGUUCUCUGUAACUCGAGAGCAUGAAGCCGGAAUCGCUAGUAAUCGUGGAUCAGCAUGCCACGGUGAAUACGUUCUCGGGUCUUGUACACACUGCCCGUCAUGCCCUGGAAAUUGGUU
rnacentral:rRNA from 1 species